AGCAGCCGCGGUAAUUCCAGCUCCAAUAGCGUAUAUUAAAGUUGUUGCAGUUAAAAAGCUCGUAGUUGAAUUUCGGGAUCAAUAUAUCGGUCGUGCCUUGGUACGUACUGGUAUCAUUGGUUUCUCCUUUCUGACGAACCAUGAUGUCAUUAAUUUGGUGUUAUGGGAAGUUAGGACUGUUACUUUGAAAAAAUUAGAGUGUUUAAAGCAGGCUUUAGCUUGAAUACAUUAGCAUGGAAUAAUGAAAUAGGGCGUUCGAACCUAUUUUGUUGGUUUCUAGGAUCAACGUAAUGAUUAAUAGGGAUAGUUGGGGGCAUUAGUAUUCAAUUGUCAGAGGUGAAAUUCUUGGAUUUAUUGAAGACUAACUACUGCGAAA
rnacentral:rRNA from 1 species